AAGCAGAACUACACCGGGAGGAUUAAAAAGAAAAACUAAAAUUGAUACAGAAACAUCUUUGCCAAUAGAUGAAGUAGAUGAGGUAUUGGGAAGAAAACCUAAGGAUGUUUCACAGGCAGAGGAUUUAAUGCAGGAUUUGGACGAAUUGCUGACGCAGAUUUCACAAUCUGACAACAGUACUUGUUCACUUACAUU